rnacentral:rRNA from 1 species
AUUCCCCCAGUAACGGCGAGCGAAGCGGGAAUAGUUCGAGCAGAUAAUCUCUGGCGCUCUGUCGCCAGCGAAUUGUGGCCGGUAGAGGCGACUGCACCCGAGGCACCCCCGCUCAAGUUGACCUGGAAAGGCACGUCGAAGAGGGUGAUAGCCCCGUGCGGGGCGGAGGUGCCGAGGGCCGCUACCGUCUUCCGAGAGUCGGGUUGUUUGAGAUUGCAGCCCAAAGUGGGUGGUAAACUCCAUCUAAAACCAAACAGUGGCACGAGACCGAUAGCGAACAAGUACCGUGAGGGAAAGGUGAAAAGCACUUUGGAAAGAGAGUUAAAGAGACCGCGAAACCGUUAGGAGGGAAACGCAUGCAGCCGAACGGGCCCUCGUCGGGUUCACGGGGUCGCGUCGCGCGCUCCGGCGUGUGCGGGCACUCUUACGAGGCCCGCCGUGUCGGCGAGCGUGGCGCACCUCUGCACUCCCGACGGUUUCGGGCCGGCCAAGCGCGGUGGUGUCCAGGGCGAAGAGGGCC